rnacentral:rRNA from 1 species
UGGGGAAUAUUGCACAAUGGGCGCAAGCCUGAUGCAGCCAUGCCGCGUGUGUGAAGAAGGCCUUCGGGUUGNAAAGCACUUUCCAGCGAGGAGGAAGGUGGUGAACUUAAUACGUUCAUCAAUUGACGUUACUCGCAGAAGAAGCACCGGCUAACUCCGUGCCAGCAGCCGCGGUAAUACGGAGGGUGCAAGCGUUAAUCGGAAUUACUGGGCGUAAACGCGCACGCAGGCGGUUUUGGUUAAGUCAGAUGUGAAAUCCCCUGGGCUCAACCUGGGAAGCUGCAUUUGAAACUGGCAAGCUAGAGUCUCGUAGAGGGGGGUUAGAAUUCCA